rnacentral:lncRNA from 1 species
GGAGAUAUGACUGGCUAUAUUCCCAAGCAGAAAACCAAGACAUAGAAAGGAAAUCUCAUUUAAAAGCCCAACAGUAGGCUUUCCAUUCCACAUCUGUGAGGGACACAGUGAGUGCACAGGGCAACCAGCCUUUGGGUAAUGAUGAUCAGGGGAUUAUAGGAUGAUACCCUAGGCAGUAUGAAGGAGUGUGAUCUUCAAGGAUAUAGGGAGGUUUCUGUUCAUUAAGAACCCACUGAGGCUGAGCAUGUCACAUAGUCUGAC